CCUGGCUUAGGAUGAACGCUAGCGGCAGGCUUAACACAUGCAAGUCGAGGGGCAGCGCGGAGUAGCAAUACUCUGGCGGCGACCGGCGGAAGGGUGCGUAACGCGUGAGCAACUUGCCCGCAUCAGGGGGAUAAUCGCUGGAAACGGCGUCUAAUACCCCGUAACAACAGUGAGCGCAUGCUCGUUGUUGAAAGCUUAUUGCGGAUGCGGAUGGGCUCGCGUGACAUUAGCUAGUCGGCGGGGUAACGGCCCACCGAGGCGACGAUGUCUAGGGGUUCUGAGAGGAAGGUCCCCCCACACUGGAACUGAGACACGGUCCAGACUCCUACGGGAGGCAGCAGUGAGGAAUAUUGGUCAAUGGCCGGAAGGCUGAACCAGCCAUGCCGCGUGCAGGAAUUGAGGCCCUAUGGGUCGUAAACUGCUUUUGUGGCGGAGCAAUAAGGUGUACGUGUACACCGAUGAGAGUACGUCACGAAUAAGCAUCGGCUAACUCCGUGCCAGCCGCAGC
rnacentral:rRNA from 1 species